UACGGGGGGGAGCAAGCGUUGUUCGGAUUUACUGGGCGUAAAGGGCGCGUAGGCGGCGCGGUAAGUCACUUGUGAAAAUCUCUGAGCUUAACUCAGAACGGCCAAGUGAUACUGCAGUGCUAGAGUGCAGAAAGGGCAAUCGGAAUUCUUGGUGUAGCGGUGAAAAUGCGUAGAUAUCAGGAGGAACACCGGUGGCGAAGGCGGGGAUCCUGGGCCAGUACUGACGCUGAGGAGCGAAAGCGUGGGGAGCAAACA
rnacentral:rRNA from 1 species